CGAGGUGAAGCCCACUCCCCUGUCCUCCACCCCCACUGGCGCUGUCACUGGCACAGGGGAAUCCCAGCCUGGAGCGGGCGCUGGCCUCUUUGGAAAUGCUCAUCAGAUGGCUGCAGAGCGAGUGCAAAAUCGGCUUCUUCCAGGAGCCACAGCACAGGGCUGACCUCAGGGCAAGCUCUUCAAGUGGACAAGUGGACUGCGACCCCUGUGAGGGGGACCUGCCCCCUGGGGACAGCACCAGGCACACAGAAGGUGUUCCACGUCCAGGUCCCGAGUGGGGGUCAAGGUCAACCUUCCUGCCUGCUGGCCCUGUGUGCAAGCCAUUCCCUGUCCUUGCAAGGCCUGAGAAGGAACCUAUGUGGGAAUCCCCUGAGCUGCCCGACAACCAAACUGCUGGUGGCAAACAAAGCCUCGAUGAAGUGAAGGGAAUCUAGUCCCCACGUGAAUUCUGUCGGAGGCAGGAAGGCCUUGCUGUCCAUCCCAGGAAUGUGGGUUUCAGUGGAAAGAACAGUUCCCACCUCACAGAAGGAGACGAGAUGAUGCUUUCAAGUCUAGCAAAGCCUGUACCCAGGAGGGAAUCCGUCAUAGCUGCUGGUCUCAGCUACACGAGACUCGCCUCUGGCUGCGCCCUUGGUAGGAGUAGUGGGACAGACAUGCAGCCCUCCCACGGCUGCACCUCUUUUCUGCCUCAAACCAACGCUGCCUCAUGUCCUGUUUCCACUUGCGUGUUCCGCGUUCCCAUGUGUCGAGGCCACAGACUGUGCAUUCUUCGUUUGGUGGUAAAACUCACAAAACAUAAAUUCGCC